rnacentral:tRNA from 1 species
GCCUUUGUGGUGUAAUGAUCAGCACACUUGGCGUGUAUUUGAGAUAUCCAAGGUUCGAGUCCCGGCGAGGGCA